CCUACGGGCGACAGCAGUGAGGAAUAUUGGUCAAUGGCCGUAAGGCUGAACCAGCCAAGUCGCGUGCAGGAAGACGGCUCUAUGGGUUGUAAACUGCUUUUAUACGGGAAUAAAGGUAUCUACGUGUAGAGCUUUGCAUGUACCCUAUGAAUAAGGAUCGGCUAACUCCGUGCCAGCAGCCGCGGUAAUACGGAGGAUGCGGGCGUUAUCCGGAUUUAUUGGGUUUAAAGGGUGCGUAGGCGGUUUUUCAAGUCGGCGGUGAAAGUUUGGGGUUAAACCGGGAAAUUGCCGUAGAAACUGCGGGCUUGAGUGUGUUUGAGGUAGGCGGAAUGCGUGGUGUAGCGGUGAAAUGCUUAGAUAUCACGAAGAACUCCGAUUGCGAAGGCAGCUUACUGAACCAGAACUGACGCUGAAGCACGAAAGCGUGGGGAUCGAACAGGAUUAGAUACCCGUGUAGUC
rnacentral:rRNA from 1 species